GUGUCAGCAGCCGCGGUAAUACGUAGGCAGCAAGCGUUGUUCGGAGUUACUGGGCGUAAAGAGUACGUAGGCGGUUUGCUAAGUCUGGUGUGAAAUCUCCUGGCUUAACUGGGAGGGUGCGCUAGAUACUGGCAGGCUUGAGUAUGGGAGAGGAGAGUGGAAUUCCUGGUGUAGCGGUGAAAUGCGUAGAUAUCAGGAGGAACGCCGGUGGUGUAGACGGCUCUCUGGACCAUUACUGACGCUGAGGUACGAAAGCGUGGGUAGCAAACAGGAUUAGAAACCCCCGUAGUCC
rnacentral:rRNA from 1 species